rnacentral:rRNA from 1 species
GAUGAACGCUAGCGACAGGCUUAACACAUGCAAGUCGAGGGGCAGCGAGGGCGUAGCAAUACGCCUGUCGGCGACCGGCGCACUGGUGAGUAACACGUAUGCGACCUGCCCCCUACAGGGGUAUAACCCGUAGAAAUGCGGACUAAUCCCCAUAGUCCUGGGUGCUGCAUGGCAUUCAGGGGAAAGGCCAGCCGGUAGGGGAUGGCAUGCGGCGCAUUAGCUAGUUGGCGGGGCAACGGCCCACCAAGGCGACGAUGCGUAGGGGUUCUGAGAGGAAGGUCCCCCACACUGGUACUGAGACACGGACCAGACUCCUACGGGAGGCAGCAGUGAGGAAUAUUGGUCAAUGGGCGCAGGCCUGAACCAGCCAAGUCGCGUGAGGGAAGACGGUCCUACGGAUUGUAAACCUCUUUUGUCGGGGAGUAACGUGCGGGACGGGUCCCGUAUUGAGUGUACCCGAAGAAAAAGCAUCGGCUAACUCCGUGCCAGCAGCCG